GAUCCUGGCUCAGGAUGAACGCUAGCUACAGGCUUAACACAUGCAAGUCGAGGGGCAUCAGGAAGAAAGCUUGCUUUCUUUGCUGGCGACCGGCGCACAGGUNAGUAACACGGUAUCCAACCUACCCUUUACUCGGGGAUAGCCUUUCGAAAGAAAGAUUAAUACCCGAUGGCAUAAUGAUUCCGCAUGGUUUCAUUAUUAAAGGAUUCCGGUAAAGGAUGGGGAUGCGUUCCAUUAGGUUGUUGGUGAGGUAACGG
rnacentral:rRNA from 1 species